GACGAACGCUGGCGGCGUGCCUCAUACAUGCAAGUCGAGCGAGAUGUAGCAAUACAUCUAGCGGCGGACGGGUGAGUAACACGUGGGCAACCUGCCUCAAAGACAGGGAUAACAAGUCGAAAGGCUUGCUAAUACCUGGUAAGCUCACGCCACCGAGUGGUGGAGUGAGAAAAGGAGUAAUCCGCUUUGAGAUGGGCCCGCGUCCCAUUAGCUAGUUGGUAGGGUAACGGCCUACCAAGGCGACGAUGGGUAGCCGACCUGAGAGGGUGAACGGCCACACUGGAACUGAGAAACGGUCCAGACUCCUACGGGAGGCAGCAGUAGGGAAUCUUCCGCAAUGGGCGAAAGCCUGACGGAGCAACGCCGCGUGAGUGAUGAAGGUCUUCGGAUCGUAAAGCUCUGUCUUCGGUGACGAAAAUGACGGUAGCCGAGGAGGAAGCCACGGCAAACUACGUGCCAGCAGCCGCGGUAAUACGUAGGUGGCAAGCGUUGUCCGGAAUUACUGGGCGUAAAGCGCGCGUAGACGGCUUAAUAAGUCAGAUGUGAAAGACCCGGGCUCAACCCGGGGGUUGCAUCUGAGACUGCUAAGCUUGAGUGCAGGAGAGGCAAGUGGAAUUCCCAGUGUAGCAGUGAAAUGCGUAGAUAUUGGGAGGAACACCAGUGGCGAAGGCGACUUGCUGGACUGUAACUGACGUUGAGGUGCGAAAGCUAGGGGAGCAAACGGGAUUAGAUACCCCGGUAGUCCUAGCCGUAAACGAUGGGUACUAGGUGUGGGAGGUAUCGACCCCUUCCGUGCCGGAGUGAACGCAAUAAGUACCCCGCCUGGGGAGUACGGCCGCAAGGUUGAAACUCAAGGGAAUUGACGGGGGCCCGCACAAGCAGUGGAGCAUGUGGUUUAAUUCGACGCAACCCGAAGAACCUUACCAGGGCUUGACAUCUACCUAAUCCCUUAGAGAUAGGGGAGUGCGUUUUCGGACGAAAGGUAAGACAGGUGGUGCAUGGUUGUCGUCAGCUCGUGUCGUGAGAUGUUGGGUUAAGUCCCGCAACGAGCGCAACCCUUGUGAUUAGUUGCCAGCGAGUAAAGUCGGGCACUCUAAUCAGACUGCCGGUGAUAAACCGGAGGAAGGUGGGGAUGACGUCAAAUCAUCAUGCCCUUUAUGUCCUGGGCCACACACGUGCUACAAUGGCCUGAACAACGGGAAGCAAGGCUGCGAAGCCAAGCGGAACCCUAAAAACAGGUCUCAGUUCGGAUUGCAGGCUGCAACUCGCCUGCAUGAAGCCGGAAUUGCUAGUAAUCGCGGAUCAGCAUGCCGCGGUGAAUACGUUCCCGGGCCUUGUACACACCGCCCGUCACACCACGAAAGUUGGCAACACCCGAAGUCGGUGAGGUAACCUGAAAAGGAGCUAGCCGCCGAAGGUGGGGUCAGUAAUUGGGGUG
rnacentral:rRNA from 1 species